UACGUAGGGUGCAAGCGUUAAUCGGAAUUACUGGGCGUAAAGCGUGCGCAGGCGGUUUUGUAAGUCAGAUGUGAAAUCCCCGGGCUUAACCUGGGAACUGCGUUUGUGACUGCAUGGCUAGAGUGCGGCAGAGGGGGAUGGAAUUCCGCGUGUAGCAGUGAAAUGCGUAGAUAUGCGGAGGAACACCGAUGGCGAAGGCAAUCCCCUGGGCCUGCACUGACGCUCAUGCACGAAAGCGUGGGGAGCAAACAGG
rnacentral:rRNA from 1 species